rnacentral:misc_RNA from 1 species
UUUGUUUUUUUUUUUUUUUCCUCUCCUGACUUCUAAUAAAGAGGCAAUUUAUGUGGAAAACCAUUUUGCAAUUUUGUUUUUCAUUUGGUAGGAUUUUGUGUUUUCUUACGCUUAGAUGAGAAGUAAUGAUUUCCCUAUACUUGGUAGGAUCAAAAUUAAAUAUAUUUUUUAUUGAAAAUUUAUUUGGUGAUCAUUUUUUCCUUCUUUUGUAUGAAUUGGAUUUUCA